CAGCCAGCCCUGUGCAGAACCUCCACUGAGAUAAAAGAGCGAUGCAGUGUGAAACCUUCCUCCUCUUCAGCAGAUGGUGUUUGCGGCAGUGGACGUUUCCUGUGCUGUUGUAACAGAACGGCCUGGUCUAGCCAGGAAGCAGAAGUGGAAGAUGCAGUCUGGUCUUGCUGAGGCUGCCUUGCUUUACAGACCUGACCUGAGAUCCUGGAUCACAAAUGAUCUCUUGCUUUCUCAAGUAUCGGAUGGUUUUUUUUUUUCCCCUUUUUUUUCCUCCAUGUUCAACCCAUGAGCUGAAGAGCUGCCAUGCCUUGCUGCAGCCAGCAGCUUCUGUCACUGCAGCACUCACAGCAGCCUCCUGGGGCUCGGUGCCCGCAGAUGUGCUGUGUGAUGCAAUGUGAACUUCACAUCACCUUCACGGAAAGACUGAAACACAUCUAAACUGGAGCUCACCCGGUGUCACUGCCUUAGGCUGAACAGAGCACUGCUACAUCUGUCCUAGCUGUGAACUUCCAGCCUGAAAAGCCUCACGGGUGGUGAAAUGGUGCCCUGACUGAGUGAGCUGUGGUGGGAGCUUUCAGCUGGUAUUGCUUCUGCACACCAAGAAGGGGCAGCUGCACAUCCAUCAGGCUUAGUGCUGUCAGACCAGGCUGAGAUUGCUGAGUGCUGCAGUGGGUGCAUUCGAGACAAAUCUCAGUCGAGGGAGUGAGGAAAUUCAUAUGGCCUCGCUGCCUCCCUGGAGCCAGCACUGUGACUGCUCCCUGGAGAGCAGCUCCCUGACUGCAUCAGCUCCCCGAGCAGCUCUGCUCCUUCUCCUCCCAGCAGCCAGAAACUGCCUACAUCAGCUUUUACCUUCCGAUGGAAACCGGCUGAGCCACAGCAAUGGGGAGCGACCCAUGGGCACUACGUGCUGCUGCAAGCUCUGUCCCACACCCGGGCAAGCCUGGGGUAUGAACCUCUGUGCUUCAGGAGCUGCAUUCCCCUGCCAGCUCUGCAAGCCACCUGGUGCCAAAGGAUUGCAUGCGCGUGAUAAAUCCCAUUGCUGUUCUGCUCAGGAAGUAAUCUGGUGAACCAGGAAAGAGAACGUUGCUUGCUACCAGCCUUCUUUCCAAGCAAUUGCACAACACUGCUCCGGGGUUAGCAAACUGCAGACAUCUGGGAGCAAUCGAUGCUGUUUAGGCUCUGAGAAAGCACAAGAGAAAGUUAGAAGGAAGCAACUUGAAAGCUCAGCAUUGUUAAAAGCAGUCUGGAAACCCUGGAAAUCCACAAGAGGGUAAUGCCUACAAACAGCCCGGAGGCAGAAGGAAUGAGAAGGACGACGGGAACAGCAGCCUCCAUAGGAGCCUUGGAAAUGGUUAAAGAUGUGGGGAGCCACAUCUUCUGUGACAACCUGCCCCCCCCCAGCACCCCCAUAAAUGAGAAACCUCAUCAGCCUCGCGCUAUUAGUGCUACGCAGCAUUAAAGUCUCUCAUUUGGGAUAAACAUUCUCAUCUCCAGCAGAGCAUGAAUAACAUUAAAUGAGAUAGUUAAAAUGUUUCAGGCCAAUUAUAGCCCCGGUGUAAGUUGGGCAGAGUUGCACCAGGGAUUAAUUUGAUGCGGAGAGCUCUGCCUCCUGUUCCGAGCCGGGAUUCCAGUGCGGGAAAGGACAAGUUAUGGGACGCAAGGAACCUUCAGGAUGCCUUGGGAAUGGAGGGGAUGCAGCCAGUUUGGGUCCUGUCUCUUUUGGUCCAGCAGAAAACCGUGUGUGCGAUCAGAGCUGGGAAAGUGCUCCUGCUGGCUGUAAUUAGGGAUGUCAUUGCAAAGCAUUAUCUCACAGAGCUGGAGCCUAUACAGAGCCAUACGUCCUCCGUAGCCAAUUGUGCACGGAGGUGAUGGGAGAGGGAAGGGUGCUGGGAACGCUCUCCCUCACUCAUUUCCAGGACGUUCUGCUGCUGUGUGGUCCCUUUCCCUUCUCACAGAGCAAUGAUGAAAGCAGACAGCCAGCAAGACCCCGGGGAGCCGCGCAGUGCAGCCCAUGGCUUCUCUUCCAGCCAAGGCUGUGUGGAGCUGCGGGUCCUCACCCCCAGCUGGGCUCAGCCCACUCCUCCAUUUCCCGUUCGCUUUCUCCCAGAGCAUAUUUUCGGGACGUGGAGAUGUCCCAACCCUCCCUUCCUCCCCAGCGGUAGCGCAUCUCGGAGGGGCCACGAGGGCCGUCGCUGCCGGUCCUGCUCUUCUCGUAAAGCACAGCGAGCUUCUGGCCAGCAGCAGCCAUGCAAUUUCAGAGAUUGAGCAAAUUCCCCCUCCCACCCACUGAGGACCUCCCGGGACCGGCGCACAUCCCACCACAGGCAGCAGCCACCUCGGCCAGCCGCCCAUUGCUGCAACGGCUUGAGUCAAUCGAGACCAUUUCUCAUGCAACCCAUCCGUACCGGAGGUCCCCAGGAGGAGGGUUGGCUCAGGAAAACCUUCAGCCCCAAACCCAGCACUCCCCCAUGCAGCUGACGGAGCACAGCUCACAGCGCAGUGACCCAAAGUGCUGCGCCGUCUGUGCCACGUCCAGCUGGCCCUUCCGCUUUGCUGGCGUGCUCCUUCCUGCUUUUAUUUUGGCUCUUUUUUGUGUGGUUUUUUUUCUUUUUUUUGGCUACGUAUGCGUGCAAGUCCAGAUGGGAGGAAAGGUCAGACUUGCUGAUGGUAAGGCCCAGGCUGAAAUCUGGGUUUGCCCUAAACCCGGGAUGGCUGUGGCUGGAUGAGCCCUGCUGGUGGGCUCAGCCAUCUGCCAGGAGAGCUGCGCCGGGCUCUGCGCUCACACGUUGGGGCUGUUGGAGCUCUGGCUCAUCUCCAUCCCGGUUCUGUCCUUGCCCACAUGCAGCUCCGCUCAUCACUGCCCACCCAAACACGCUCGGCCUCCUCUCGCUCAGCUCCUGACCUUUAUUCUCCCUUAAAUCAAUACGCAGAGCCGUGCUGCAGCAGUACCAGCACCUCCGGGGAGCCCAGGUGAUGUAUAGCAUCCAAGGAGCUGCUUCUGCUUUUGAGGCUCCCAUCCAGAUAAGCUUUUGUCUUUCCAAUCUGUCCUGUGCUGCGUGGGCCCUGCGUUCAUCCCCUCUGCUCCUGGCACUAUUGACUCCACAUUUGCUUUCAUUCUGCUGUAAAAUGAAGGCAGCUCCAGGUACAACAGCGGUUUUAUUCUUCCUGAAUAUAAUGCCUUUAUGAAAAUAAAAUCAAAAGUGAGUUGGGACCGGAAAGGUUUAAUUAAAAAGCUUCAGGGGGGAAUAAGAAAUCUGUUAGGAAACCUCUGCGGACGUUCAGCAAGUUCUCCCUGCAGAGAAGCAGCCUGAAGGGAGCUGCAGUGUCUGCCUGUGCCCUGCUGGUGGGAAGGGAUGAGAGGUGCAGUGAAGCUGGGAGCAGCCCAGGUCAGGUGCUUGCCUUUCCCACUGCUGCACCAAAAGCAGCCAUAACCACAAAGACCCCACCUCCUAUUCCCUCAUACCCCUCGGGGAAAGGAUAGGAACUGCUUUCUUGGCCAGGCUGAAGCUGACAUCCGCCAGUCCCAAUGCCUGAUCAAUGCAAAAAAAUGGACUUUUCCCAUCAGAACACGUCCUUUUUUUUCCAGCAGGAUGCCGAGUUCUCAGACAAAUGAAGGCUCCGUUUGGCAGCGGAUAGAAAACAGGAAUAUUUGUCUUUAUUCCGAGACUGAAUUUUUGUGGCUAAGCUGCACCAAAAAUACAUCUUCCCCCCCCACCUCUCCCAGACAUGAGACACCAUUGAAUGCUGAAAGCAACUCUUCCCUGCCACAAAUGGACCAAAUAAACCCAGCACGAGACCGGUGCUUAGCAGAAACCAGAUGCGCCUCUAAUGCUGUCGUCUACAGCAAGCUGCGUCUGCAAACUGAUCUUUUAUUAAUGUGUGUGCACGGGUGGGAGAGCUGGGAGAGUCCCAGCGCCGGGAGCACAACGUGCCAUCGCCCCGUGCCCAUGGGCUGCCUUAUGGCUCCCAAAGGGCAUCGCUGUGGGGUUACCCAAAGCCCCUCCGGACCCAGCAUUCGGGAUUUGCAGCAUUUGGCCUCGGUUUACCCCGAGCUGCACCAUGGAGGUGGGUUUUGGAGGGGUUCUCGGCGUGUUCUGUGGCUGCAGGAGGAGAAGGAGCUGUUAGUUGGUGCUGGCAGCUGAGAUGGGUGAGGUGAUCCAGGACGCUCCCCCCAUCCGCGUGGCUGGAUGUGCCCUCACCUGGGAGCUGGGCAGCUGUUGGAAGCACCAGAAAGGGCUUUCCCCCCCCCUGGUCUGCCCAGUUCAGGCUCUGUGUCUCUAUUUCCACGCACCUCAGGAGCAGCCACUUUCCAGAGCUCACGCAGCCUCACCAGUAGGCAAAGAGACCUGUAAAUCCUGGGAGAAAUAUGGAGAAACCACCAUUAAACAGCAGGCAGAGUCUGCGAGAGGUGUGGCAGGGCAGAGAAGCAACAAAACAGGCUUUUUCUCCCCAAUUCCCCCUCAUUUCCACACUUUCCCCAGAGGCCCUUCCAACCCAAGCUGUUCCAUGACUCUCUCUCGUGUCAUCCAUCCC
ensembl:lncRNA